rnacentral:rRNA from 1 species
AGGGCUAACGGUGGAUACCUAGGCACACGGAAGCGAAGAAGGACGUAGUUACCGACGAAACGCUUCGGGGAGCGGGAAGCAAGCAUUGAUCCGAAGAUAUCCGAAUGGGGCAACCCUAAACACGACCACCUGAAUACAUAGGGUGGAGCGAGCAAACCUGGUGAACUGAAACAUCUUAGUAGCCAGAGGAAAAGAAAGCAACAGCGAUUCCCCCAGUAGCGGCGAGCGAAAAGGGAACAGCCUAAACCAAGUUCUUCGGAACUUGGGGUCGUGGGACAGUAACAAAAGACUGGGAAAUUUAGACGAAGCGGCUGAAAACCGCACCAGAGAAGGUGAAAGUCCUGUAGUCGAAAAAGGAACCAGCUUAACUGCAUCCCGAGUAGCAUGGGGCACGUGAAAUCCCGUGUGAAUCUGCCUCGACCACGAGGUAAGGCUAAAUAUUCCCGUGUGACCGAUAGAGAAACAGUACCGCGAGGGAAAGGUGAAAAGAACCCCGGAAGGGGAGUGAAAUAGAACAUGAAACCGUUAGCCUACAAGCAAUGGGAGGACGAUUGAACGUCUGACCGUGUGCCUGUUGAAGAAUGAGCCGGCGACUUACAGGUUAUGGCAGGUGAAGGGGGAAGACCCCACAGCCCCAGCGAAAGCGAGUCUGAAUAGGGCGAAAAGUCAUAAUUUGUAGACCCGAACCCGGGUGAUCUAACCAUGGCCAGGAUGAAGCUUGGGUAAAACCAAGUGGAGGUCCGAACCGACUAAUGUUGAAAAAUUAGCGGAUGAGCUGUGGUUAGGGGUGAAAUGCCAAUCGAACUCGGAGCUAGCUGGUUCUCCCCGAAAUGUGUUGAGGCGCAGCGGUAGUGGAAGUUUAGUCGGGGUAAAGCACUGUUUCGCCGCGGGCUGGGAGACCGGUACCAAGGCGAGGCAAACUCUGAAUACGGCUAAAAAAACUACCAGUGAGACGGUGGGGGAUAAGCUUCAUCGUCAAGAGGGAAACAGCCCAGACCACCAGCUAAGGUCCCCAAAUGAUAACUAAGUGAGAAAGGAGGUGGGAGUGCAUUGACAACCAGGAGGUUUGCCUAGAAGCAGCAAUCCUUAAAAGAGUGCGUAAUAGCUCACUGGUCAAGCGCUCCUGCGCCGAAAAUGAACGGGGCUAAGUUAUCUACCGAAGCUGUGGACUACAUUGUAGUGGUAGGGGAGCGUUCUAUAGGGGGUGAAGCAGUAGCGGCAAGCAGCUGUGGACUCUAUAGAAGUGAGAAUGUCGGCUUAAGUAGCGAAAAUGUGGGUGAGAAUCCCACACCCCGAAACCCCAAGGUUUCCUCCGCAAGGCUCGUCCGCGGAGGGUCAGUCAGGACCUAAGGCGAGGCUGAAAAGCGUAGUCGAUGGACAACGGGUUAACAUUCCCGUACCGAUUAAUGAUUGUGCCGGAGAACGGAGAAGGUCAACGUCAGCUGGAUGUUGGUUACCAGUGCAAGCAGUCGAGGCGAUGAGAGGUGGAGAAAACACCAGGAGCUAAGACGCGAGUCCCACCUCCCACGGGAGGGAAGUGGCGCUGAUCAAGCUUCCUAGAAAAGCCCGAACCACGUUAAUCAUUAAUUGCCUGUACCCGAAACCGACACAGGUGGGGAAGUAGAGAAUACUAAGGGGCGCGAGAUAACUCUCUCUAAGGAACUCGGCAAAAUGACCCCGUAACUUCGGGAGAAGGGGUACCCUCGCAAGAGGGUCGCAGUGAAUAGGCCCAGGCGACUGUUUACCAAAAACACAGGUCUCCGCCAAGUCGUAAGACGCAGUAUGGAGGCUGACGCCUGCCCAGUGCCGGAAGGUUAAGGAAGUUGGUCAGGAGUAAUCUAAAGCUGACGACCGAAGCCCCGGUGAACGGCGGCCGUAACUAUAACGGUCCUAAGGUAGCGAAAUUCCUUGUCGGGUAAGUUCCGACCCGCACGAAAGGCGUAACGAUCUGGGCACUGUCUCGGAGAGAGACUCGGCGAAAUAGGAUUGUCUGUGAAGAUACGGACUACCUGCACCUGGACAGAAAGACCCUAUGAAGCUUUACUGUAGCCUGGAAUUGGCUUCGGGCUUCGCUUGCGCAGGAUAGGUGGGAAGCUUUGAAACUCUCCUCGUGGGGAGAGUGGAGCUAACGGUGAGAUACCACUCUGGCGAGGCUAGAAUUCUAACCCUGACCCCUAAUCGGGGCGGGAGACAGUUUCAGGUGGGCAGUUUGACUGGGGCGGUCGCCUCCUAAAAGGUAACGGAGGCGCGCAAAGGUUCCCUCAGUCCCGUUGGAAAUGGGACGAUAGAGUGCAAAAGCAGAAGGGAGCUUGACUGUGAGACCCACAAGUCGAACAGGGACGAAAGUCGGCUUUAGUGAUCCGACGGCACCGCGUGGAAGGGCCGUCGCUCAACGGAUAAAAGUUACUCUAGGGAUAACAGGCUGAUCUCCCCCAAGAGUUCACAUCGACGGGGAGGUUUGGCACCUCGAUGUCGGCUCAUCGCAACCUGGGGCUGAAGUCGGUCCCAAGGGUUGGGCUGUUCGCCCAUUAAAGCGGUACGUGAGCUGGGUUCAGAACGUCGUGAGACAGUUCGGUCCAUAUCCGGUGUAGGCGUAAGAGCAUUGCGAGGAGCCUUCCUUAGUACGAGAGGACCGGGAAGGACGCACCGCUGGUGUACCUGUUAUCGUGCCAACGGUAAACGCAGGGUAGCCAUGUGCGGAGCGGAUAACCGCUGAAAGCAUCUAAGUGGGAAGCCCACCUCCAGAUGAUUGCUCUCAUGGCAUUAAGCCAGUAAGGUCUCGGGUAGACUACCCGUUGAUAGGCUCUAGAUGGAAGCUCGGUAACGAGUGCAGUCGAGGAGUACUAACCGACCGAGGGCUUGACCU